GCCACGCUUAAGCAGCACAGUAAUAUUGGGGUUCACCAUUUUAUCACCCAAUAUUUACGUGCUGCUAAUGCGGAAC